rnacentral:rRNA from 1 species
GAUGAACGCUGGCGGCGUGCCUAAUACAUGCAAGUCGAGCGAACAGACGAGGAGCUUGCUCCUCUGACUUUAGCGGCGGACGGGUGAGUAACACGUGGAUAACCUACCUAUAAGACUGGGAUAACUUCGGGAAACCGGAGCUAAUACCGGAUAAUAUAUUGAACCGCAUGGUUCAAUAGUGAAAGACGGUUUUGCUUUCACUUAUAGAUGGAUCCGCGCCGCAUUAGCUAGUUGGUAAGGUAACGGCUUACCAAGGCGACGAUGCGUAGCCGACCUGAGAGGGUGAUCGGCCACACUGGAACUGAGACACGGUCCAGACUCCUACGGGAGGCAGCAGUAGGGAAUCUUCCGCAAUGGGCGAAAGCCUGACGGAGCAACGCCGCGUGAGUGAUGAAGGUCUUCGGAUCGUAAAACUCUGUUAUUAGGGAAGAACAAAUGUGUAAGUAACUAUGCACGUCUUGACGGUACCUAAUCAGAAAGCCACGGCUAACUACGUG